CAGCUGGCUCAUCUUAAAUGUAUUAGCUAGAUUUGUCUGGAUGGCAGGGUUUGACUUGGCAUAAUAAGUAUUUUGCCGAGGACAUCUCUUGAGAUGGCCAGUCUUCAGACAGCAGUCUGCUCUCUAACCUAUGUUUCUCUUUGGAGACAUGACUUUUAUUAUUUGGCCUCAAAUCAGGUAGGACUACCCGCUGAACUUAA
rnacentral:misc_RNA from 1 species